CAAAGAAGCAACAGGUUUUUUCUUCAUCUGUCAAAAGGGAAAGGAAAGCAAUUCCUUUUCUUUACAUGUCUUGUCAGUUUUGCUCGUCGUGUGAAGCAAUAGGUGAAUAAAAUGCACUGGAUAUGCGGUCAAACAAAUGCGAACCCAUUGCAUGGUAUCCCACGGCGUUAUGUGAAACCAUUUUUGUUGAAUCAUUAGUUGUGUGGAGAUUGAAUACUUCCGCUUCUCUACCCGUCAGCAUUCGCCUGGCCAUUUUCUUGUGGUUUCACAUCUCCGCAACCCUCCAGAUGCUGGAUGUCUCUGCAAAUUUGCUCCAGUUUUCUUUCACGGAAAUGUGUGGUAGCUGGUUCACCUUUCGGUUUGAUGCUGAAAGUGUUGGUUCGGUAAAUGGUCGCCGGGGGAUGCGGCAUCGGUUGAUCUCAAGAUUGAUGGACAACGUCCAGAGUAUGAAUGCUUGCGCCUCAGGAACUAACGUAUCGACAAGCACUUCCUCGGAUUACCAUAUUAUAGACAGAGAACAUAUUUUUUUUUCGCUCUUCAUUAUCCCACGAUGUCUUCACAACUGCAACAUACUACGAAGACCCUACAAUAUGUUCGAGCACUGAAUGCUUUGGCCCAACACAGAGUUGUGUUAUUCAGGACCAACAUACUUAUGACACUGUACGCUGCGAACACUAUUGAUGUGGAUAUCUGCCCUUUCGCUGGGGCUCGGAGUCAAGUUCGUGCAUAAGGAGAAUGAAACAGAAAGCGGACAGUACAAUGAUCUGAUUCAUUCCCUACAAAUGAUUUGCGGAUGAUAAUUCUCUCUGAACAAAAACACGGGGAAUCUGACUGCUUCUUCCGAAAACAUACAUCUCGCGUACACCUGGGACACAAUCCACUUCAUAAUCACCUUGUUUUUUGUGUGCUUCCAGAAAGUCUAAACCUCCUCUCCCAAUUCUCUAGAUGCGCCUGGAUUUUGGAAAAUCCAAUAAGCCAGAGUAUAGGGUACCUGCUAAUAUAUGGAAAGGAGGCGAAGUUUUCCUCUACAGGCGUGAAUAAAAUGCUCUCAACCGUUGCUUCCUAUCUGUACCGUCACUUUCCU
rnacentral:lncRNA from 1 species